GGAGGAAGAGGAGGAGGUGCCGUCCCACAAUACCAGGCGGGAGGGCGGGUAGGCGGUUUGUAUCCGGGCUGUGAGGUGCUCCGAGCCUCGGCGGACCUUGCUGCCUCUGUCUCUUUAACGUGAGAGGAAGCGAUGCGGAGGGGUGGAAAAUGGCAGAGCUGCAGAUGUUACUAGAGGAGGAGAUUCCAUCUGGCAAGAGGGCGCUGAUAGAGAGUUACCAAAACCUGACCCGGGUGGCGGACUACUGUGAAAACAACUACAUACAGGUGAGGAGCGCGGACGAGCGAACAGCGGGCGCUGGCCCGGCCGAGGACCCGCCGCCGGCCGCCCGAGUGACCAGCCCACUGGGCGGGGUGGGGAGCUGCCCUAACCUCAGCCGCUGCCUCAACUCCAGCCCUAGCCCCAGCCCCAGCCCCUGCCCCAGCCCCGCUGGGCAGAGGGCAAGUGGCCGGGCUGAGGGAGCGGCUGCGAUACAGGAAGUGGCUGUGGUGAUGGAAGCCGACCCGAGGGGUGGGAGAAAAUGGGCGAGGGAGCCGGGAACCCGCCAGCGGCGCAGUCCGGCGCCCCCCUGGCGUCCGCCUCCCUGAGGGAUUGGCCCCCGGCCGCAUCCCGUCCGACGGGCGUGCGUCCCGGAGACCCCAGCUGCCGCCCUCCGCCUCUGCGCCCCGAGACGGUUCUGGGACCCGGAGAGGGGAGAGGAAAGGGCAGGGAGAAGCGGCCGAAGACAGAGGAAAAGCGGGGUGUGUAUCCGCCGAGGGUGCGGUGGGGGCGAUUAUGUCAGUUCAGCCCAGAGGGUGUGUCUUUUAUUUAUUUAUUUUUUUUAAAGAAAAUUUGUCAUGAGUCACAUUACACGGACCUCCCCGAGGAGAGAAGGAAGCGGGUGUGGGGAGUGAGGGAGGGCGUUUGCGAGAAGUUAAAUCUUAAAAUUCCUUUAAUUGAAGGUUAGUGAAUCUGCCUGUUGGUCCUUUUGCAAGUCGGGUUUUUCCCCCCUUCUCAUCAUUUUCACUUCCGCCUUACGAUGAUGUAUUCUUGUUAUAAAGCAUCAAGUAUUCUUAACUAUUUGAAUAAAUGACUUAAAUCUUGUGUCUUCCUCCCCAAAGUUCUUGAGCUGUUAGCUUCGUGAGUAACUUAAAAUAGAGACAUGUCCUCUCCGGCUGCUUAUUUUCUGAGGUUUCUCUUUCUGAUCAAAGUAAAUGUGUAGAAUUAUGAAUCCAAAUAGAUUUCCAAACAUAUUUAGUUGUUCUUGGAACCACAACGCAAAACACCUGUUAUUGUUACUUUAUCAGAAAAUUCUUGGAACCUUAACUAUGACAGAUGCUUGUUUUUAUUUUGGUGAUUGGAAGUGAAUUGUGUGGUAGUUUGAUUUGUAGAUCUUUAUGUAAACUAACAGUUUGCAGUAGAAGCAAAUAAAGUAGCAGAGUCCUUUGUGUCAUUAUAAUGGCACCAAAAAUUCGUUUUUUAAGGAAAGACCAACCGUGGUUUGAAAGGUUGGAAUUAUUGCAGUUGAGAUCUAAAGUGUUUAUAGAAGUGCCUCCCAUGUGAUUAUCAUUUUUAAGAACCAGUAGUUUCUGUUGGCGAAUGUAUUUCCUCUUUAUAUUUAGAGGAAGAUAACUGUUUUCAGAAUAUUUUGAAUAUUUUUGUUUCCAUAUUAGUGACAUUGUAUCUUCAGUAACACUACUAGGAAUUUCUCUUAAUGGCUUUUUUCAAGCUUUUACUUUAGGAAUUUUACUGAUAAGUAAACUUGUUGAAUGCUUGCUAUGCCUACUGUAUUACUUGUUUUUGCAAAGUGUAUAUUUGGCCUUUUCAAUCUUAUACAAAUGUGGAUGUAGUUUGCAAAUAGAAGAGUGAUCUUUUAGUUUAUUGGUAUUAGAAAUGUGCCAUUCUCCAUUCAAUUUAACUUGAAAAGCCUUGAAGUUGAGGCGAACCUUAAUUUGCUGAAAGUUUGUUCUGAAAGUGCAAACAUGGGAAGUUAAAUUGCAUUCAUUUUAGAAAAGUCAUUUCUUUAUAGAAGUCAGCAGAUAAGUAUUUCAUUAAGGGUGGCUCCUUGAUUUGCAUAUUGGGAAAUCUGACAAGUAUAUGGUGUGGUAAUGCUGCAUGUUGGCAACGGUUGGUAACUAUAACAUGUUUUAACCUGUCUGUUGACUGUUUAUUUUUCAAGUAGUUGUAAGCUGCAGUACUUUUUUCCCACUCACUCAGGCCCCUUUCCUUUUCUCCUCCUGCUGUUAACAUGUAACUUAGAAGCACUUUAAAACUUAAUUGAUAAUAUCCUUGAUUAAUAGAAGUUAUUUCUCAUGUGUCACGAAAAAUGUUGACAUGGUGCCAAGAAUUACUGUCAGUAGCCUCAGACUUUUUUUUGGUGAUCCUGGACCUGAAUUAUUCUGAUCUGACUGGGGAGUAAGGAAAUUAAAUUCACACACAGCAAUGAUUAUUGACUACUUGAAUUUAGUAUCCUUUAAACUUUGGGCUUUAUGAUCCAUGUCACUAGUUGCUUUCCUAAGGGGCUUGGACAGGGUCAGUUUCAGACAAGCUCAGAAAAUGAUGUGGAUGUUCUUGUGGUAUGUGGUGCUGCUGACACUGGUACUAUGAAUGAGGAACAAAUAGUAUUAGAAAUAUCCAUUUGGAUGUCUACUGAGAUCUUUCUAUAUCCUUUCUGUGAUUCUGAUUGGGUUGUAAAUAAAUAUAGAUAAAUAUACCUCCUCUUAGAGAAAGUAUAUAAUCACUUAUGUUUUGAGAAUUAAAAAAAAUACUCAGUUAAAUUAUUGGUUGGAUGAUUUUUGUCUUGAGAAUUCAUUUUAAUUUUUCUUGUAUUUUGAAAGUUCAGUCUUGUUCCAUUGAUAAUUUCUUUGGGUGUAGUAUAGUUGAGUCCUUUGAGCAGUUUGAGUCUUUGGGGUUUCAUUGACUCUUAAUUAUUAAAUUGUAAUACUAAUAGCAGAAUUUCUCAAAAUAUUCCACUGUUCUUAAAAAGGAAAGGGAUUUAAAGUUAUGAGGAAAAUAGUAUUAAAAGUAGAAGGUUUUUAUGUAGACAAGUAGAGAAGUCUUUGCCAUUUACAUAUAUUUUUUCAACAUAUAUAUUUUUUGGUUGUAGAUGGACACACAGUACCUUUAUUUUAUUAUUUAUUUUUAUGUGGUGCUGAGGAUCAAACCCAGUGCCUCACACCUGCAAGGUAAGUACUCCCCCCCACUGAGCUAUAACCCCAGCCACCACUUACAUCUUUUUUUUUUUUUUUAAGAGAGAGAGAGAGGGAGAGAGAGAAUUUUUUAUUUUAAACAGAGAGAGAGAGAGGAGAGAGAGAAUUUUAAUAUUUACUUUUUAGUUUUCGGUGGACACAACAUGUUUAUUUGUAUGUGGCGCUGAGGAUCAAACCCAGGCCACACGCAUGCCAGGCGAGCGCACUACCGCUUGAGCCACAUCCCCAGCCCAACACUUACAUCUUUUUGAUAUCAAAUUGAUUUUUUUCUGUUAGAUUAUGUCAAGUACAGUUAUUCCUUAACCUGAACACAUUUAGAUAAUUCUCUUUGCUCCACUUUAGAGUUCUUACUCCCUUUGCUGUGAAAACUGUUUUGGGGAAUAGGAGGGAAAGAAAGCUAAGUGAAGUGGAAUAGAAAUUGUUUAAGAAAGGCUUCGCAGGAUGCAGAUUGGGUAAGAACAAAAUGUCUUCCAUACAGUUUAACUUUUUAAUUUAAUUUGUCUGACUGGAAUUCCACCAACACGAGCAUCAUCUGGGUUAACAAGUAUGUUCUAAUCAUUAGUCAUAUUAUUACUGUGAGCUAGGUAGUGUUGAUUACUUUACUCAACUCACAUGACAUUUACUUAGUUAUGCACAUUUAAUUUUGGAAAGCAGGUAAUUUUUGAGCAGGACCAUUUUGGAGUUGGUAAAAGCUUCCCUUUCUGGUAUUGUACAGUGUAUGUCAGUUUAUAAAUUGUCACUUAUAUGUUUCUCCUUUACCCUUUCUUUUUCUGUUUGGAAACUAAGUCUUUUUUGCCCAGCCUGAUCUUUGAUCUUUUACUGCAUAUCCUUCUAUAUACUUUAAAUCAUUUCUUGAUUACUUAUAAUACAGAAUACAAGUAAAUGCUUUGUGAUUAUAUUGUACAGGGAAUAAUGACAAGAAAAAAAAUCUGUACAUGUUUGGUACAGAUAUGGGUCCCCCUCCCCUCCAGAUUAUUUUGGAUCAGGGGUUCGUCUACUCCUUGGUGGCUGGACCCAUAGAUAAGAAAGGCCAACUGUAAUUGAUACUAUUUAUUGAGUACCUAAUCUGUCACAGCAGAUAUUUAUACUAAUCCUUACAAACUCUCCAUGAUAGGAGUGCUCUCCCACAGAGGAGGAACUUAGAAUUUGGAAAAAUGCAAUACAUUUUGUUUGGUCAUACAGUUAGUAACUGGCAGACAGGAUUUCUGUCUAAUUCUGACAGACUCCAUAGAUUAUGCUUUUUUCAUGUCACAUUGUUUCCAAACAAAUGAGUCUAGAACUCAGAUUAGUUCAGCAAUGUCAUGGAGUAAAUAGAUUCUUGGUCAAGUCUGGCAACCUAACAACUUUAAGUUGCAAAUAUAAGAAAGUUUGUAGUUUGGAGACUUAGCUGUAAAAUCUCCAAAUGAUGAAAGUGUUGACUGUAGGAAUUGAAGGCUAGUUUUUCACUGAGCUCCAUGGAUUUUUUUCUUUCUAUGCAUCUCUUUGCUUAUUUUUUCCCUAUUCUGAUUCAUUUGUAAUUAUGGUGAGAAAAUUUGUAGAAUUAGAAAUUAACAAAAGGUGUGUGUGUGUGGGGCUGGGGAUGUGGCUCAAGCGGUAGCACGCUCGCCUGGCAUGCGUGCGGCCCGGGUUCGAUCCUCAGCACCACAUACAAACAAAGAUGUUGUGUCCUCCAAAUACUAAAAAAUAAAUAUUAAAAUUCUCUCUCUCUCUCUACCUCUCUCUCACUCUCUCUUUAGAAAAAAAAAAAGUUGUGUGUGUGUAUGUGUGUAUGUGUAUUCAUAUAUACAUAUAUUUGUGUUUGUGUGCACGCGCUAGGGAUUGAACGCCAGGGCUAUGUGCAUGCCAGGCAAGCACUCUACUAACUGAACUAUAUCCCCAGUCCUUAAAAUAUUCUUGAUAGUUCUGAUUUCCAUUCACAUUGGAUUUGAGGAAGGGGGUCAAAAUGAUUGAGGAGAUUAGGACAUACAGGCAAGUUAGAAUACUUAGGAUUGCUCUUUGAAGUUUGAGUAAAGCAGUGAACACCAAAGUCAGAGAUGCAAUGGGAUAUGUAAAUGAAGUAAACAGGGGUUUAGUUAAUUUUAUAGAAGAUCCUCAGGUAAUUGUUAAAUUGACACAUACCGUGUUUCAACAUGUUUAUUAUAAUUUUUUAAACAUUUAUUUUUUUAGUUGUAGGUGUACAUAAUACCUUUGUUUUAUUUUUAUGUGAUGCUGAGGAUUAAACCCAGUGCCUCACACAUGCUAGGUGAGCGCUCUACCUCUGAGUCACAACCCCAAACCAAAUAUUGAAUAAUAUUGAAUAUUAUUUGAAGUUUGAAUUAAAACUAAUAUUAUCUUUUUCCUUUUAUAACUUUAAUACCAAUAAGAGUUUUACAUAUGGUACUUUGGUUUGUUUAGGUCUUCCGUUCAGUGUGUUUCAUUCUUUUGGAAAGUUUUUAGGAAAUUGACACUUCUAAUUCCUCUUAGGUGCUUCUGCUUUCUCCUGUUCAUUCUGAUAGUUGAGAUAUAUUCUUGUGGUGGAAAAGAGAUAUUUGGGCAGCUGAAGAUCUGACUAUUUAUAUUAAAUUAUCUUGCAAUAAUUAGACAUUUGUGAGUUAACAGUCAGUGUAUUAUUCAGAAAGGAAGAGUGUACCCAGGCACUAAUGACACAUGCCUGUAAUCUAAACUGUUUAGGUGGCUGAAACAGGAGGAAUAUAAGUACAAGGCCAGUCUGGACAACUUAGUGAGACUGUCUUAAAAUAAAACAGUAAGAAAGGGCUGGGGAUGUGGCUCAAGUGGUAGCGCGCUCGCCUGGCAUGCGCGCGGCCUGGGUUUGAUCCUCAGCACCACAUACAAAAAAACAAAGAUGUUGUGUCCGCCGAAAAAAACUAAAAAAAAAAACCAAAAAGCAAUAAGAAAGUGCUGGGGAUGUAGCUCAAUGGUAAAGCAUCCCUGGGUUCAAUCUCCAGGACUACACACACCAAAAAAAAAAAAAAAAAAGGAAGAAUGAUACUGCUAAUAUUGGGAGAAAAGAUUGAACCAAACAGCUUACGAAAAUAUAAUUCUAUAUAAUCCAUGAAAAUAGUGUUAUGAAAAGUAAUAUUCACACUUAAGUGCUAAUCUGAGAGCAUUUAAAAAGUUUUGAAAGAGGCCAUAUUUUUUUUAAUGUCUUGUGUUGAUUGUAAUUUUUAAAUUUUAUUUAUUUAUUUUUGGGGGUAUCGGGAUUGAACUCGGGGGCACUCAACCACUGAGCCAUAUGCCCAGCCCUAUUUUGUAUUUUAUUUAGAGACAAGGUCUCACUGAGUUGCUUAGCACCUUGCUUUUUGCUGAGACUGGCUUUUAACUAGCAAUCCUCCUGUCUCAGCCUUCUGGGCCACUGUGCCCAGCUUUGUUGAUAGUAAUUUUUUGAAGUUAUGAUCUGAUUUUAGAAGAAAUAAUGGUCAAACCUCCAAACUACAGACUUCUUAAAUCUUAAUAUUAUAUUAAUAUGACAUCAAGCUAUAAAAUUAGGGAUUUUUUUUUUUUAAAAAGUACAUCACUGAGAAAAGAUACUAGGAAAAUAGCAAUUAUUGGAUUUUGUUUUAAAAGGAAGUAGUUGAGUUGGGUUUUUUUGGGGGGUGGUAGAAGUCCAGUGGAAUUGAACUCAGGGGCACUUGACUACUGAGCCACAGUCCCCAGCCCUAUUUUAUAUUUUAUUUAGAGAUAGGACCUCACUUAGCACCUCGUGUUUGCUGAGGCUGGCUUUGAACUCACAAUCCUCCUGCCUCAGCCUCCCAAGUCACUGGGAUUAUAGGCUUGCACCACUGCACACCUGUAGUUGGUCCAAGUUGAUUAUUUUAACAGUAAAUAUCUAUUUAGACAUGGAGAUUAUUUUCUAGUGCUACCAGUGCCUAGACUCAAAUAAGUAUUUUAAUUUUAAAUCUUCUAACAUUCUCCAUUAAUAAAAUAAAACUUUCUCAGAAAUGGUUGGUAAUUAAUCAGUAUUUGUGAAGAAAAUCUGAAAGCAAAAUAAACAAAACAUCCCAAGGAAGAUAGUGUGUAUUUGUUAUUAAAUGUAUUCUAAAUUUUAUAUGCAUCUGUACUUAGCACAUUUCUUUUUUUUUUUUUUUUUUCACUGUAUAAAAUGAAUUUUAUUUACUUUUUCUAGAGGCUGAUGAGAGUACCUCUGAAAAUCCAUGUUCUUUAAUUUCAGCUCUGUGAUACAAUGUGAGGUUCUAGGACCUUGGUUCAAAAAAUUUUCGUGUAAUUAUUUAACAGCAUACAAAAUUCAGAUUCAUGAUUUUGAUAUCAUCAUUAAAAUUGGACUUAGCACAUUUCUUACACAGCAACUGUUUGUGGAAUUGAGUUUUUAUAUUGACUAAAGAGUAUUGGUAGGAUCAUUUCAAGUAUAGCUUUAAGUAGAAGGAAACUUUAUAUCUUAUUUUAGUGCCCUUCAUUUAUAUACCAUAAUUAUAUAUAUUCUACCAUAUAGAAAAAGAAACUUCUUAGUUUCUAAUAUUAGCAGCCUAAGGCUUAUAAUAAAUACUUAUUUUAAGAUAAAAAUAGUAGAGAGUGUGUAUGGGUGCCAUUUUAACAUCUUGGUUGCCACCCAGGAGUGCGCUUUUAGCUGAUAGCCUAGUAAUGCCAUUAUUUUUUGUCAGACUAUUUUUUCACUUAUCAUAAACUAUUUAAAAAUUUUCUUCCCUUUUGAUAUCUCUUUUCUUUUUUAUUUUUUUAGUUGUAGUUGGACAAAAUAUCUUUAUCUUAUAUAUUUAUUUUUAUGUAGUGCUGAGGAUCCAACCCAGGGCCUUGCACAUGCCAGGCGAGCUCUCUAUUGUUGAGCCACAACCCAGCCCUCUUGUCUUUCAUUUUAUAGAGAAAACAGACUUUAUCAUUAUAAGAUAAUUCCCUAUCACUAAAUCUCCAAACCUAUGUAAAUAAGGCAUUCUUGCUUAUCCUAUUCUACUUCCUUGUUAUAAUGGAGAAAAGGUGUCCUUCCUCCUAGCUAGGGUCAAUGUUUUUUUUCUUUGCUCUGGGUUCCAUCCUUUCUUAACCUUUCCAGAAACCUUAUACUUUAUUUUUCUUUCUUUUUUUUUUAGGGGAGGGGUGCUUUACCACUUAGCUAUACCCCCAGUUCUUUUUAUUUUUUGUUUUGAGAUAGGUUCUAAGUUGUGAGGGUCUUGCUCAGUUGUUGAGACUGGCCUUGAACUUGUGAUCCUGCUGCCUCAUACUCUCAGAUUGCUGGGAUUAUAGGCACAUGCCACUGUGUCCUGUGAGAAACCUUACACUUCUUACAUCUUUUCCUACUGAAUUUUUGCAGUCCAAAUUGAAACGUUUCAAGUCUUUCCCAUAUUGGGAAACUCUUUUGACUUCAUAUGCCUAUCUAGUGACUUUAAUAGUUGUAUUAAAACUAUUGUCAACAUCUUCCCUCCCUCCUUUCCUCAUUUUGCUUUCACUCUUUAGCUUGCUUUAUUUGGUUUGUCAUCUCCACUGCUUCAUAAAAUUAUGCUCAGUAUCUUUCAUGUUGCAAAAUUCAUAGAAUACUUCUUUAAUUCUCAUCUUGCUUGUCUUCUCAGCAUCAUUUCACUUAGUUAGGCGUCCAACAUUCCUCAGUUAUCCUCCUGCCUCAGUCUCACAUAACUGAAAUUAUAGACAUGCCCCACCGUGCCUUGUUCCCUCUUAUUUUGAAAAGUUAAUUAUUGAGCUUCUUUGAUACCUUUAUUUCCUUGCCCUUUGUUUUCCUUUAAGUAUUAAAGUAGUUUUAUAUGGGCUUUUUUCUUUACGUGUCACCUCAAAUUGUUUUACUUAUUCUCAUUUGAAUCUCUAGGUUAUAUCUGUCUUCCACUUAAGUUUAGAUUUGUAUGUCCAAACACCUGCUUAUGACACCUUUUUAUUUGAAUCAGGAGUGCCCUAGACUGAAGAUGCUAGAAAGUACUCAUCACCUCCCCGCACAUCUUUUACUUCCUAUCUAUCUACUCACUCACCUACUGGAAACUUAUGCAUCAUUCUUGACUCCUCCAUUGUAUUUUCCUAUUUUUUCAUCCUUCUCCCCACUAAUUUAUUACCACUAAUUCAUGUUGUAGCUCUUGUUGAUUUCUUCUUCUUAAAUGACUCUAAAAUUUGCCUAUUCCAUUCUACUGUACCACCCAUUACAAAGCAUUAUCUGUUGUUUAGGCAGCUGCUAGAGUUUCCUAACUGUCUUCUUUAUAUCACCACAUCUUCUUCUGAUCCAUUUCCCACACUGAACUCCUGUGUAGUGCUGAAGUUUUUUUUUUUUCAAAAUAGAUAUCUAUCAUGUUACUUCCCUGCUUAAAAAAUCUUUCAGUGAUUCCCCAUAAGUGUAGUGCUCUGAAUGAUCUUUUGAAUGAUAGUGUCUCACCAUAAUUCAUGUUGUGCUUUAGUCCUUAUGGUAGAGAUACUGAGAGGUGGGGCCUUUUGAGAUGUACUUGUUUUAAGGGUUACCACCUCAUUAGUGGAUUAAGUGUCCUUAUAAAAGAGCUUGAGGGCCUGUUUAACCUUAUUGCCCUUCAAUUUCUACAGUAUAUAAUACCAAGGAAGAGACCCUCUGUAGACGCCAAAUGCCCACACCUUGAUCUUGAAACUUUUGGUUUCUAGAACUGUGUGAAAUAAAUUUCUUUCGUUUACAAAUUAUCUGUCUGUGGUAUUUUGCUAUAAUAGACUAAGCCAUAUAAGUCUCUAAGAGGCGUGUGUAAUAUAGUUUUGUCUGAGACCCUACUAAUAUAACUUUUGUCUUUUUAGCGUGCAUUCAUCCCCCUGGCCUCAUCUUGCCAGUUUCUUGUUUCUUUUUAAAUAUUUAUUUUUUAGGUGUAGAUGGACACAACACAAUACUUUUAUUUUAUUUUUUUUUAUGUGGUGCUGAGGAUCUAGCCUGGGCCCUGCCCAUGCUAGGCGAGUGCUCCACCACUGACCCACAAUCCCAGCCCCGUCAUCUUGCCAGUUUCAAAGAAAUCUCAUUCUUUUCUGCCUUCGCAAAUGUUGUUCUUGACUAGAAAACUAAGUCCUCUUGAUCUGAAUGUUAACUUGUUAGGUUUCUCCUUGUGGUUCAAAUGAAAGGUUACUAUAUUAAUAAUUCAUGCAUUAAUUCUUCAUUUGAUUAAAAAUCCUCUUCAGUACCUGCUAUGUAUCAGAUACUAUUCUAGGUUCCAGAGAUAAAACAGUGAGCAAGGCAAAGUCCUGCCCCUAGGGUCUUUUCAUUACAGAGAGGAAGGAACAGAACAGUAUUCACCAAAAAAUAAUGUUGUUUCAGAUUGGGAGAAGUUCUGCCUAGAAAAAUAAGUGGGUCAAGAUGGGAAGUAGAAAAUAGGGGUUUGGAAGGAAGAUUUCCUUUAGAGAGGUUAGAAAGUAGUAGUCUGUGGAUGUAACUUUUUUUUAAAUGAACCUUUAUUUUAUUCAUUAAUUUAUAUUUGGUGCUGAGAAUUGAACCCAGUGCCUCACACAUGCUAGGCAAGUGCUCUACCACUGAGCCAUGACCCAGCCCCUGGAUGUAACUUUUGAAUUGAGAUUUGGAGGGCCGAGAAAGCAUCUUCCAUGAGAAGAUCUUAGGAAAAGGAAGUGUGAAGGCUCUAAGAUGGGGGAAAAACUUUUUUAAGGAUAAAAUGACUAGAGAGUAGUUAAUGAGAACAAGAAGAGUAAAUGAUAGAAUGGAAAGCUUAUCAGGGGCCAGUUCACAUAUGGUGUGGCCAUGGAAGGAGUUUGGAUUUUGUUCAAGGUGUGAUGGGGUUAUCAUUGGAGUACUUGAUGGAGUACUUGAUUUUUUUCCCCCCAAAGAUCAUUCAGGCUACUGAAUGAAAAAUAGGUUGAAGAGGAAGCAAGAACAGAAUCGGGUCAGCAGGGAGGGUAUAUGUAGAGGGUAUAAUAAUGAAGAAUUAGAAAAGGUUUUUUUUUUUUUUUUGGUUAAAUAUUUAUUUAGUUGUAAAUGAACACACAGUAUAUUUAUUUUUAUGUGGUGCUGAGGAUUGAACCCAGUGCCUCACACAUGAGGCAAGCACUUUACCACUGAGCUACAGUCUCAGCCCCAGAGAAGGUGGAUUUUUAAAGGCAUAGAUGAACAGGACAUGAUGAUGGAUUGAACGCGGUAUGUGAAGGAAAGAGAAGUCAAAGGAUGACUCUUAGUUUAAUUUUUUUCCCUAAGCAUGUAGGUAGAUAAUGGCAGAUGGUUGGGCAGCAGGUAGGAGGAAGGACAUAAAGAGGUCUGUUUUGGACAUGUUAACUAUGAGAUACCCAUUAAACAACCAAGUAGAUCAGCCAGAUAGCCAUUCUUGACUCGUUAGUCAAGAAUUGGAGAUCAACAUUUCAGAAAAGAAAUAGUGCUAUCCUAUAGAAUAUAAUGUGAGCUAUAUACAUAAUUUAAACUAUUUAUAGUAGCCACAUUCACAAAAAGUAAAAAAGGUUGAAAUUAAUUUUAAUGAUUUUAUUUGACUCAGUGCAUCUAAAAAUAUCAUUUCAAUAAGCAACUACUAUAAGUUGUUUGUUAAUAGAUUAUUUUACUUUUUUUUUUGAUGCUGGGAUUGCACUCAGGGACACUUAACCAUUGAGCCACAUCCCCAGCCCUAUUUUGUAUUUUAUUUAGAGACAGGGUCUCACUGAGUUGCUUUGUGCCUCGCUUUUGCUGAGGCUGGCUUUAAACUUGCCAUCCUCUUGCCUCAGCCUCCUGAGCUGCUGGCUACAUUCUUUUUUUUUUUUUGUACUCUGUGAAAUCUGAUAUAUAUUUUAUACUGCUAGCACAUCUAAAUUGGGACAUUGAUGGUGAUAAACUGAUAGGAUAAAUGGGUGGGAAGUCCUGUAGUCCCAAAGGAUAGCUGACAUUAAGUUGCUAGAAUUUGCACAAAUAGAAGAGGGGAAUCCCCCCCCCACCCCCCUCAGUACUGGGGAUACGUUGAACUCAAAGGUACUAUACUGGCUCUUUUUCAUUUUUUAUUUUGGGAUAGGGUCUCAAUAAGUUGCCCAGUUUGGCUUAGAACUUGCAGUUCUCCUGCCUCAGCCUCCUAAGUUGAUGGGAGUACAGGCAUAGGCAUGCCUGAUUAGAAUGGAAUUUUUGAAAUCAAGAUUUUGGAAAUGGCGUAAUGACUAGGGGAGUUUUUGGCUAUGGUGGAGAAAAAUAUUGUUGGGAGUUAAAAGGAGGUCAAGUGAUUGAGGAAAGGGUUAUCUGAGUAUCUUUUAAAAUGUUUUUAUUGGUGCAUGAGAGGAAUAGAUGAACUCUAGAUAGGGCAGAGGGGUACGGUGGGAGGGGAAGAGAGGGAGCAAUGGGGUUAGAAAUGAUGAUGGGAUGUGAUGAUCGUCAUUAUCCAAAGUGCAUAUAUGAAGACAUGAAUUGGUGAAUAUACUUUGUAUACAACGAAAUAUAUGAAAAUUUGUGCUCUACAUGUUUUUAAAUAAUGAUGUUCAGUGAAAAGUUGUCUUAUUCAGCUUGCAAAUAAAGUACACCCAUGAUUUUUCCUGAUGGCAACCAUCAUAUUUAUUUAUUUAUUUAUUAUUAUUAUUUUUAUUAUUAGUUUUUCAAAACAUUACAAAGCUCUUGAAAACCAUCGUAUUUAGUAAGCUUCAAAAGUGGUUUAUGUGGGCUGCCCAUUUUGUCACAAAGGAUAUUAAAAGAUAUCUUUAUUUUUUAUUUUAUUUAAUUUUUUUUAGAGAGAGAGAGAGAGAAUUUUAAUAUUUAUUUUUUAGUUUUCAGUGGACAUAACAUCUUUGUUUGUAUGUGGUGCUGAGGAUUGAACCCGGGCCGCACGCAUGCCAGGUGAGCGUGCUACCGCUUGAGCCACAUCCCCAGCCCCUAAAAGAUAUCUUUUUAAAUUUCAAGAUUUAAUAAAAUUUACAAAUUUUCCUGCUUCAUCAAGAAUGUUUUAAGUAAACCUGCUCACCCUCCCUUCUCUUUCUUUUUUUCAUAUAGUUAUUUGACAGUGAAAAACUGACUACUACUAUAGUUGGUGAUAAUGCUUUGAUUUAUGCUGAGGGAUUACAGGUUUUACUCACCUUUGCUUUUGUGCUACCAAUACAAAUGUCAAUACAGAAGAUAAGUCAAAUAAUAACAUUAUUAUGAAAAUAGUUUUGACGUUGUGAACACCUCUCCCCCUUCUCAAAGGAUCUUAGGGAUCCCCUGUUCCCCAGAGCUAUGCAGACCAUACUACAGAACCUUUGUUAUAGCUGAUUGGUUUAAUAAACUUAAAGCCUUCCUUGUGUGCUAAGGGAAGUCUGAAUUUUAAAUAUUGUUGUAUACCAUUGUGUAUAUUGAGCAUCUCAACUAAAGUAGACUGAGAAAUACCUCAUAAAAAUUUAAAGUUCUUGAGUAGGAAUUUUCUUAGCAAAGCUUAUACUAUGCUAAUUAUUUGGGGUGGAUUUUUAGAUUUUGGUUCUUAGAAUUUUUCUUUAUAUUUCACCUCUGGUAAAACUUGUGUUUAAAAAGUUUCAUAUAUCUAGUUUUCUACAAACUUUACUUAUACCAAAAUUUUGAUAAUGUGUUUUUAUAAAUUUGAUUUAUAGGCAGUUGUAGAGAUUAUAUGAUUUUUAAGAAGCAGUUAAGAAAUAGUAGUUUUUUUAAAAAAUAUUUAAUUUUUAGUUGUAGUUGGACACCAUAUCUUUAUUUAUUUACUUUUAUGUGGUGCUGAGGAUCAAACCCAGGGCCCCACACUUGCUAGGCGAGUGCUCUACCUCUGAGGCACAACCCCAUCCCAAGAAAUACUAGUUUUAAUUUUAAAAUGUACCAGUCAUUUAUUUCUAAUUUGAGCACUUUACUUUUUGGAUUUAAAAAAAUCUGUUGUUGGUAUUAUUCAUGGUACAUACAUAUCUUCCUUUUCAGUACCAACAUAAUUAUAUAUUUUUUAAAAAAAUAUUUUUUAGUUGUUGAUGUGCCUUUAUUUAUUUAUUUAUGUGUGGUGCUGGGGAUCAAACCCAGUGCCUCAUGCAUGCUAGGCAAGUGCUCUGCCACUGAGCUACAACCUCAGCCCCUAUAUAUAUAUAUAUUUUUUUUUUAAUAUUUAUUUUUUAGUUUUUUGGCGGACACAACAUCUUUGUUUGUAUGUGGUGCUGAGGAUUGAACCCGGGGCGCAUGCAUGCCAGGCGAGCGCGCUACCACUUGAGCCACAUCCCCAGCCCUCAGCCCCUAUAUUUAUAUCUUAAAAAAUAAAAGUAAAGCAAGACAAAAGCACCAAAAAAUGGAGAGUACACUUUUGUUUUAGCUGUUUCUCUGGAGUCCCCCCCCCCUUUUUUUUAUUAUGUCUGCCUCAUAUUUUCCAUGAAAAAAGACUUUGAAUUAAUUCUUUUCCUUUUUCAAAUCAUCUCUCUUUCAAAAAAUUGAGAAAUCUUUUGCUUUUUCAGCUCCAUGUUCUAUUAAAAUUUAUAUUCAGAUUUUGCUUUGUAGUAGGAAAACAAACUGGUGAUUAAUGUUUUAGAGUAAUCAGAGAAUGCCAUAGAGAUCCUAAAGAAAACCUGCAGCCAGGUGGGUGGUGCAUGCCUGUAAUCCUAGCAACUAAGGAAGCUGAAGGAGGAAGUUUGAAUUUGAAGCCGACCUUGGUAAUUUAGUGAGACUCUUGUCUCAAAAUAAAAUGGCUGGGGAUGUAGUUUGGUGGUAGAGUGCCCUGGGUUCUAUCCCCAGUACUGCUAACAAAACAAAACAAAACAAAAAAAUAAAAACCCAAAUGCAAAAUUUUAUAGGGUCUUAAGUUGGAAUUACUGGAGUUCCAAAGGAAAUGCUUGGUAACAUGAAAUGUAUGUAUAAUUGUAUGUAGUGUGCUCCACAGUAUGACAGAUGUAUUAUUUCUAAUCAGUUACUCAGCAACUUUUAUUUUUGAGAUGAGAUCUCACUAUGCUGACCAGGCUGGCCUUAAACUCUUGGUCUAAGUUUUCCUCUGGGCUCAGCCUUCCGAGUAGCUGGAAUUGCAAUUGCACUACCAUAGCUGACUCAGCAUCUUAUUUUACAUCCUAUUAUGUGUUAGAUGUGUUUUGUCAAUCGGAUUUAAUCUUUCUCUCAAGGAGUUUUUGUCUGCCUUCCUCACUAAUCAAGUAAAUCACCAACUAUAAUAAAUUAUGUCUAGGGAAAGUACUUGUUGGCAUGAGCGUGUACAUCAGGUAAGCCCACAUAGCUUGGUGAGUCCAAAAAGUAAUGUUGGAGUUCUGAGAGGUGAAUAUGUGUUAACCAAGAAAAUUUUGGAGGAGGGAAAAUGGGGUCCAUUAUAAGGAGAAGAGCAUGUGAACAGGCCCAAAGAUGAGUGAAAACAGGGUGAUUUUGAACAAUUUAUAGGCUUGUGUGUUUUUAGAAUGAAGAAAUGGUGCUAUGUGAGGAUGUAAGCAGGAACCAGAGCAAACUCGAAGCCUUAUUGACUCUGUUAAGGAUUUUGGUCAUUUUAUUUUUAUUUUUUUUCCUGAGGUCAAUGAGAAGGCAUUCAAAGUUAUAAGCAAUGGGAUAACAUUAUCAUUUUUCCUCUUUAAAAAUAUUGCUCUUGUUCAGAGUGAAGAACAGAUUAGGAGGAGGUUUAAGUUACAGAUUGGCAAGAGCUCAAGAAGAGAUUGGGGAGCUGAAUGUAGUGGUGUAGGCCUGUAAUCUCAUUGAAUUAGGAGGCUAGGGCAGGAGAUGGGAAGUUCAUGGACAGUCUCAGCAGUUUAGUGGGACCUCAUCUCAAGAUAAAAAAUAAAAAGAACUGGGGAUAUAGCUUAGUAGUAGAGCACCCUGGGUUCAGAACAAGGGGGAAAAAGAAAGAAUAAGGAAAAAAGAAGAAGAGAAGAGAUGGGGAAGCUCAUUAAGUUUAUUAUCAUUUUAUGUUACCAAGGGAGAGACUGUAUGCAUUCUGGACCUAUAGAGGACUGUUACAUUUGUUCAGAGUUGAUGGUAGCAAGUAGUGGUAGAUUAUGAAAUCCCUAUUGCCUGGAAUCAUCAUGGUAGGCUGUGACUCCUUAUUUUGUUUUAGUUUUUCCUAGAAAGAGAAGUGUUGGGAUGGAGGUGCAGUUCAGUGGUAGGGUGCCUUGCCUAGCAUGUGUGAGACCUAGAGUUCAGUCUCUAGGACAACCAACCAAACAUACAUACACCUCAGAGAAUCCUGAGCUGGCUUUCAUUUUCUUCUCAGAAAUGCUACAUGGCACUUGGAGUUGUUUAAAAGUUACUCAAUUCAACAAGUCUUACAAAAAGAAAAGAAAGAAAAGUGUUCAGUUCUUUUGGAAUUUGUUAAUCUGAGGUAAAGGAGGAUUCAUUCGACAAAUAAGUUUUUAAUGGCCUACUCUGUGGAAGGCUCUGCUAGGUAUUGUGAUGGGAUGGUGUAAUGUAGAUAUUAUAUAUGAUAUAGUUAUGCAUAAAUCAUUGUAUUAUGAAUUAUAAAGCCUAAUCUAAGAAAAAGGAAACUGUUCUGUAGUAUUUAUAUUUGAAUGAAGGAAUAUUCUCUAUAGAAGAAAAAUAGAUAUUUUUUAAAGGUUUAUAAUUUUAGUUUUGGCAGUCAGAAUUUUGCUUAUGGGAAGAGAAAAUGUCAAGCAGCUUUUUAAAAACAAUAUCUAGAUAAUUAAUAUGUUCCUAUAAAAGUUUCAAGUAAUACAUUAAAAACAGAUCCUACCAGGUGCGUGAUGGCACACUAUUGUAAUCUCAGCAGCUCAAUAGGCUAAGGCAAGAUUGUCAUGAGUUCAAAGUAAGCCCAAGCAACUUACUGAGACCCUGUCUCUAAAUAAACUAUAAAAAGGACUGGGAAUGUGUCUUAAGUGGUUAGGUGCCCCUGGGUUCAAUUCUGGGUACCAAAACAAAACAAACCCCUGAAAUUCUCCUUUCUUCUCCCUGUACUUUAUUCAUCCUCUCUCCUUAGAGGUGCUUAUUUUAUAUCCUUGCGGUUUGUGAAGAGAGGAUGGGGUGGUUUAGGAAGACCCAUCUUGCAUUGGGGCAUGAUAGGUUGGAUAAGGGAGAGAUUGUAUGCAUUCUGGACCUAUAGAGGACUGUUACAUUUGUCCAGAUCUGAAGAGUGUUUGUAGCGUUGAGAUAGCUGUAGUGAAAUUUAAAGGGAAGGUUAAGAGUCUGUUAACUUUGGUGAAAGCUAUACGAGUUCUCCACAGACAAACUCAAAGAUGGCUUAUUUUUCAUGUGUCUGUUCUUUCACCAUAAAGCCUACAGAAGGUAAUUUGCAGUCACAGGAGUGAAUCUUAGAGACCCUUUCUUUUUCAGCCAUUAGUACACAGUUGGUUCCUGACACUUUCCAGCUUUUACUCCUCCACAAUGGUAUUGAUUGGCAUAAUAGUGGGUUGGAAAAUAGGAAUAAGACUUGACUGCUAGCUGGCUGUGUGGGCAGAAGUAGGGAGAGGGAGGAAGGAGAAGAAAGAGAUUCCAAGGUCUCUGGCUAUAUACUAUUACAACAUGAGGUUGAGGUAGAAGUUUCUUUUUCAAAUAUUUUCAUUUCUGUCAUAACCUAUGUAUUGGCAUUUUCAUACAUUUAGACUUAAAAAAAUUUUAUUUUAGUUGUAGGUGGACACAGUAAUUUUAUUUUAUUUAUGUGGUGCUGAGGGUUGAACCCAGGGCCUUACACAAUUCAAGACGAGCACUCUACUGCUGAGCUACAGCCCCAGCCCCAUUUAGACUUUUUUUAACACAUUUUUUUUUUUUUUUUACAAAUAAUUUCAAAAUAUAUGAUGUAUGUGGAAUGAAAACGACUGCUCUUUGAAAGGAACUUUUAAUUUUUUUUCUUUUUUAUACCAGGGAUUAAGUUCAGGGGCACUCAAACCAAUGAGCCACACCCCCAGCCCUUUUUGUAUUUUAUUUAGAGAGAGGGUCUCACUGAGUUGCUUAGUGCCUUGCUAUUGCUGAGGCUGGCUUUGAGCUUGCGAUCCUCCUGUCUCACCCUUCUGAGCUGCUAGGAUUACAGGUGUGCGCCACUGCUCCUGGCUGAAUUUUAGAAUUCUAAGGAACUUGUGUGUAGUGUUUGGGGAUGUCUCAGGAAAACUUCUGAAAGAACAGGUUUAACCAAGUCUUGAAUUUAAAGGGUUGCGGGGAAAGGGAGGUUGGGAGGCAUGGGGUUUAGGUAUUAGGACCAGCAAGACAGCAAGGCAUUUUUCACAGAGCUGUGAGUAGAGUCAGAUGCAAGGGAAGGUGGUGGAAGAGAUGAAGUCUCAAUCGAAAAUAUACCUGACCUGCUAUAGAAAAUCAGUUCAGUUUUUCUCACAUUUAAAAAUAGAGAGAAAUCGUGUUUUAAAUUUAACAUUAGUAAGAUGAAAUUGUGUUUUUGCCCUAUCCUGACAUACUCUGUUCCUUUGUUAAGACAUAUUUGGCAUAGUCAACAGAAACCAUGCAAUAAGUGGGUAAAUACAGGAGAAAUGAGUUAUAGAUCUGAAUAAACCACUUUUUGUAUGAGCUAAUUGUCAUAAUUUGGGUACUGCUUUGCAUUAGUGCAUUUGUUGUGUUUAUUAAUAUAUCAUUGCAUAGUAGAGUCACUUGUAUCCAAUUGAGUUGUGUGUUUUCUUCUAUGUGUUCUUACUCUUCUAGGCCCCUCAUCCCCCAGCCUAAGAAAAAAGAGAAGAAAAGCAGUAUGGUACCAUCUGUAAAAGUUCCAUCACUCUUGGGGUUUUGUUUGGGGGGGAAGAGGUACAGUGUAUUAUAGAACAAACAUAAGAUGCUAUUACAUCACUGAGAAGAAUUGCAAUAUAUUGUUUCUUUUACAGUCAGAAGUCUUAGGAAAAGGUUUGCUUUCUGAAGAUGUUUUGAUCUCAUGGAUACCGUGAAUCAUACAAUAAUCUUGUUCCUUAUUAUUUGUGGAUUCAUAGAGAUCAGAGCCAAACUUAUGGCUUUACUUUAUUAAGUAGUGCUCUUUGGUCUCUGUGGUCUGUGUUAACCUCUCACCUUUGUUUUAUUAUUUAUUUAUUUAGUUGUAGUUGGACACAAUAAUUUAUUUAUUUUUAUGUGGUGCUGAGGAUCGAACUCAGGGCCUUGCACAUGCUAGGCAAGCGCUUUACUGAUGAGCCACGAUCCCAGCCCUUUACCUUUGUUUUAUACUAUUAGAUAUCUUGAUUUUAUUUUUUUUUCAGUGCUGGGGAUUGAACUGGGACCUUGCAUAUGCUAGGCAAGUGCUCUACCACUGAGCUAUGUCCCUAUCCUGGUUAUCCUGAUUUUUCAUCUGUGUUUUUUUUUUUUUUCCUGUUGUGUUUUAUAUUGUUUAUACUAGUAUUAGCUAAUUGUCCUACCCCAGACAAAUGAAAUCAGGGGAAGAGUUAGACUGGGUCCCAGGCUUUGGAAUUGUUUUCCCUCCCUUCUUCCCGUCUUUCCUUUUGACAGGGUCUUGCCAUCUUUUGCCCUGAAUUACUAGGCUGAAGCCUAGUCUCUGCCUCCUGAUUAGCUAGGACUGCAGGUGCAUGUAAUCAUGUCUGCCUAGAAUUUUGUUUAGCUGUUGAUGGACUUUUAUUUUAUUCAUUUAUUUGUGUGUGGUGCUGAGAAUCGAACCCAGUGCCUCACACAUGUGAGGCAAGCGCUCUACCACUGAGCCACAACCCCAGCCCUUGCCUAGAAGUUUUUGAAAGCUCAUCAAGUAGUGCUGAUGUCCAGCUGAGUUUUUUUUUUUUUUCCUGGUGUGUGUGUGUGUUUUGUAUUUUUAGAGUAUUGUAUUUGUAGAACUCAAUAGUAGAAAACAAAUAACCUGAUUUAGAAGUGGGCAAAGGAUCUAAAUAGACAAAAGGCAUAGAUACAUAAAAAUGGAUAACAGGAUAUGAAAAGGUACUCAACAUCAUUAAUCAUCAAGAAAAUGCAAAUCAAAACUAUUACAAUAUUACCUCACACCCAUUAGGACAGCUAUUAUAAAAAAGUCAAAAGAAUAUCAAAUGGUAGUAAGGAUGUGGAAAAAAUGAACAAACACCUGCACACUGUGGGCGGGUAUGUGUACAGUCAUUAUAAAAAACUGUAUAGAGGUUCUUAAAGAAGGUAAAAAUACAACUACUCUAUGACCCAAUAAUACCUCUUCUGGGCAUAUACUCAAAAGAAAUGAAAUCACCAUCUAAUAAAGAUUUCUGCACUGUUAUAUUCAUUACAGCUUUAUUUCCAAUAACCAAAAUCUGGAAACAGUUUCUGUCCAUGGAUGAAUCGGAAAAGAAACAGUGGUAUAUGCAUUUGAACAUUAUUCAAACUUAAACAGGAGGAUCCUGAAAGAUAUGCUUAGGGAACUAAGGUGAACAGAGAAAUAAAAAUAUUGCAUGAGCUCACAAAUUGUUAGCUUUCUGUCACUAAAAAUAUCUGAGAUAAAGAGAGGAAAUGUUAAUUUUGGCUCACAUUUUAGGAGGUUUCAGUCCAUUGUUAGUUGGCCUGUUGCUUUUGUACCUGUGGCGGCAGCAUAUUGUGGUGGGAGCUUGUGAUGGAAGAAGCCCUUCACCUCAUGGUAGUUGGCAGGGAGAGGAGAGGCUGGGGUUCCAAUAUCCCCUUCAAGGGCAUGCCUCCAACAACCUAAUUUCCUUGUACCAGACUAUUGUGGUUUGGAUGUGAGGUGUGUCCCCCAACAGCUCAUGUGUGAAGCAGUGCAAGAAUAGAGGUAAAAUGAUUUAGUUAUGAGAGCUUUAACUUUAAACAGUCAAUGAAUGAAUUAAUCCCCUAAGAAGGAUUAACUGAGUGAUAACUGAAAGUGGGUAGAGUGUGGCAGGAAUAGGCAGGUCAUUGGGAAAUGUGGCUUUGGUGAGCAGAGUUUAUAUGUUUGGUGAGCAGAGUUUAGUCUCUGCUUUCUGAUCAUCUUCAUGUGAGCUGCUUCCUUCUGCCACUCUUCCACCAUGAUGUUCUGCCUCACCUCGAGCCCCAGGGAAUAGAGCUGAUUGUCUGUGGACUGAGACUUGUGAAAUCUUGAGCACUCAAUAAACUUUUCCUCCUCUAAAAUUGUUCCUGUCAAGUCUUUUAGUCACAGCAGUGACAAAUCUUGCUAAAACACAGACCAUACCUCUUAAAGGUUCUGCUGGCUUCCAGAUAGCUCCACAGGCUGAUGACCAAACCUUUAAUAUAUGAGCCUUUAGGGGAUGCUUAUCCAAACCAUUAGCACAUGUGGAAUUAAAAGAAAAGAAAAGAAUCAAAUAUUCAUAGAUAGAGAAAAACAGUGAUCAUCAAGGGCAGGUGGGUGGGUGGAAUUAGGGAAAUGUUAAGUCAAAGCUUAAAAAGUAGUAUCCAUUUAAAAUGAAAAAGUCCAGAGAUCUAAUUUAUAAUACAAGGAUUAUAGUUAAUAAAAUAGUACUGUAUUUGGGAUUCCUAUUAAAUGAAUCAUUUUUAACUGCUUUUGCCACAGAAGCAAGCACACAAACAAAAGUAUCUGAUAUUGUUUCAGUCGUUUUGUGUUAACAAUAACAAAAAACUUGAGAACUAGGUAUAAAGGAAGGUAGUUGGUUUAGCUUGGACUUUUAAAAGUGGCUCUGUCUGGUUGGCCUCUGAUGAGGGCCUUCUGACUCUGUCAUAACAUUGUAGAUGACUUCACCUAGUGGUAGUACAUGCAAGAGAGAACAUAGAAAGCCAAAGAGUGAAGGAUGAAAAUACUUGUUUUUUAGUAGUCUGCUCUUAUAGAAACCAUCCUGUGAGAGUGAGGACCUAAUGUUAAAAAUAAAAAUCCCUCCUAAAGAUCUAAUUACAUCUCUUAAAGGUUCCACCAGCUUUCCACAUUACCAUAUUAAGAGACCAAGCUUCCAGCAUAUAAUAAACCUUUGAAGAACAAUUCAUAGCAGUGAUGGACAUGUUACUUUGCUUCACUUGAGUAACCAUUUUGGUAUUGAUAUGUAUCUCUUAAUGUUGUGUCAUAUACUUUAAAUAAAUACAAUGAGAUUUAUUUAAGAAAUAAUACAUGUAGUUCAUAUAAAAAUAAACAACAGCUCACUAGGUGGUGCUGAUGUCCACCUAGUUGAGAAUCACUAUUCUAAGCAGGAGUGGGCAGAUAGUAAAUAUUUUAGGCCUUCCAUGCUGAAUGGUCUGUCACAACUACUCACUCUGCCAUUGUAUUAUGAAAGCCAUAGAUGGUAGGUAAACUUUUUUUCUUUCUUGUGGCAGUGGUGUGGAUU
rnacentral:lncRNA from 1 species